AUGGAGCCGGCCGAGAAGAAGCCGCCGGCGGUGUCCGACCUCGGCGCCUGGGGGAUGAACGUCGUCAGCUCCGUCGGCCUCAUCAUGGCCAACAAGCAGCUCAUGUCCUCCGCCGGCUACGCCUUCUCCUUCGCCACCACGUUGACCGGGUUCCACUUCACCGUCACGGCGCUCGUCGGAUGGAUUUCCAAGGCCACCGGCUACUCCGCCUCCAAGCACGUCCCCCUCUGGGAGCUCGUCUGGUUCUCGCUCGUCGCCAACGCCUCCAUCACCGGGAUGAACCUCAGCCUCAUGCUCAACUCUGUCGGGUUCUAUCAGAUCUCCAAAUUGAGCAUGAUUCCGGUGGUUUGCUUGAUGGAAUGGGUACUCAACAGCAAGCACUACACAACCAAGGUUAUAUCAGCAGUGGUUGUCGUCGCAGCGGGCGUCGGGAUUUGCACCGUCACCGAUGUGGAGGUCAAUGCUAAGGGCUUCAUUUGUGCUUGCGUGGCUGUGUUCUGCACGUCGCUGCAACAGAUUACAAUUGGCUCCUUUCAGAAGAAGUACAACAUUGGGUCAUUUGAGCUGCUGAGCAAAACUGCACCAAUACAGGCAGUGUCACUUAUUAUACUGGGUCCCUUUGUGGAUUACUACCUAAAUGGGCGUUGGCUAUUGAACUACAGUUUUUCAACAGGGGCAACUUUCUUCAUACUGCUUUCAUGCUCCUUGGCUGUCUUCUGCAACAUGAGCCAGUAUCUCUGCAUCGGGCGGUUCUCUGCAACCUCUUUCCAGGUCCUGGGCCACAUGAAAACGGUGUGCGUGCUGAUCCUCGGCUGGGUUCUGUUCGACUCGGCUCUCACCAUCAAGAACAUACUCGGGAUGCUGCUCGCCAUCAUGGGCAUGGUGGUCUAUAGCUGGGCCAUGGAGUCUGAGAAGAAGGCCACCUCGGCGAUCCCGCGGAACAAGAGCGACAUGCUGGACGGGGAGGACGUGCCCCUCAAGUCGAGAACGAGCGGCAUUCCGCUGUCCUCUGAUGACCUCGAGGAAGGCCCGAUGAAGAGCUAG
rnacentral:rRNA from 1 species